CGAAGGCCAGGGGAGCAAACGGGAUUAGAUACCCCGGUAGUCCUGGCAGUAAACGGUGCACGUUUGGUGUGGGAGGAUUCGACCCCUUCUGCGCCGGAGCUAACGCGUUAAACGUGCCGCCUGGGGAGUACGGUCGCAAGAUUAAAACUCAAAGAAAUUGACGGGGGCCCGCACAAGCGGUGGAGUAUGUGGCUUAAUUCGAUACAACGCGAAGAACCUUACCUGGCCUUGACAUGCAUCUCUAAGCUGGUGAAAGCCAGUGACUCCCGAAAGGGAGAAUUUGCACGGGUGCUGCAUGGCUGUCGUCAGCUCGUGUCGUGAGAUGUUGGGUUAAGUCCCGCAACGAGCGCAACCCCUGUGAACUGUUGCCACCAGGCCGUGAGGCUUGAGCACUCUGUUCAGACUGCCCUGUGAAACGGGGAGGAAGGUGGGGACGACGUCAAGUCAGUAUGGCCCUUACGGCCAGGGCUGCACACGUACUACAAUGCCCAGUACAGAACGAUCCGAGACCGCGAGGUGGAGGUAAUCUAGUAAAACUGGGCUCAGUUCGGAUUGGAGUCUGCAACUCGACUCCAUGAAGCCGGAAUCGCUAGUAAUGGCGCAUCAGCUACGGCGCCGUGAAUACGUUCCCGGGCCUUGUACACACCGCCCGUCACAUCAUGGAAGUUGCUUGUAGCCGAAGCCGGCGCGUCAACCCGCAAGGGGCACAGCCGUCUACGCUAUGAGCAGUAACUGGGAUGAAGUCGUAACAAGGUAGCCGUA
rnacentral:rRNA from 1 species